GUUUUGGGAGCACCCUUUGAUUUUACAUCUUGCGACUUUCCAAACAUACAGAGAUGGUGGACUCUUAUUCUUCUGGAGAACUUUGGGGUUUUCUCUGAAAGUGCAGAAACCCUACAAGAGUCCCUUCCAUGUGAAGAACAAGCUACGCUUAGCAGCAGUGAGGCGUGUGUGUGUGUGUGUAUAUAUAUAUAUAUAUAUAUAUAAUCUAAUAACAUAUAAUACAUUUAUAUGUCACAUUUAUAAAGUCACAUUUUCCUUUAAUAUUCUGUAAUGAAGGAGCUCCCAAUAAUCCGGCACAUGAAAGAAGCUGUGAAAUGGCUCCAUUCCAACAGCCAUCUGCUCAGGGGUCCAGUGGAAGAGCCUCUUUUCAUUCGAAUGAAUGAAGACCACAAGGAAAAGGCCCGCAACAAUCUCCUGGAACAGUCAGAAGCUUCCAGAGAGCCCUUUCUAUUUCAUUUUGUGUUCAGGAAUGACAUGGAGUUAUUUUUACAAGAAUGUAAGGACAAAAUGGGCCUGAGAGUGAAUGCCUCAUUUGAUACAUUUUAAGUUUAAUUUAUACAGGAUUGUCAUGAUAAAAUGGGCCUAGGGGUGAAUUGGUCAUUUGUUGUAUAUAUUUUUAUUGUUUCUUUUAAAAUGAUGCUU